rnacentral:rRNA from 1 species
GUACGAAGGGCGUGCUUGCUAUCUUUGCCGGCGAGCGGCGGACGGGUGAGUAAUGCCUAGGGAUCUGCCCAGUCGAGGGGGAUAACAGUUGGAAACGACUGCUAAUACCGCAUACGCCCUACGGGGGAAAGGAGGGGACCUUCGGGCCUUCCGCGAUUGGAUGAACCUAGGUGGGAUUAGCUAGUUGGUGAGGUAAUGGCUCACCAAGGCGACGAUCCCUAGCUGUUCUGAGAGGAUGAUCAGCCACACUGGGACUGAGACACGGCCCAGACUCCUACGGGAGGCAGCAGUGGGGAAUAUUGCACAAUGGGGGAAACCCUGAUGCAGCCAUGCCGCGUGUGUGAAGAAGGCCUUCGGGUUGUAAAGCACUUUCAGUAGGGAGGAAAGGUAGCAGCUUAAUACGCUGUUGCUGUGACGUUACCUACAGAAGAAGGACCGGCUAACUCCGUGCCAGCAGCCGCGGUAAUACGGAGGGUCCGAGCGUUAAUCGGAAUUACUGGGCGUAAAGCGUGCGCAGGCGGUUUGUUAAGCGAGAUGUGAAAGCCCCGGGCUCAACCUGGGAAUUGCAUUUCGAACUGGCGAACUAGAGUCUUGUAGAGGGGGGUAGAAUUCCAGGUGUAGCGGUGAAAUGCGUAGAGAUCUGGAGGAAUACCGGUGGCGAAGGCGGCCCCCUGGACAAAGACUGACGCUCAGGCACGAAAGCGUGGGGAGCAAACAGGAUUAGAUACCCUGGUAGUCCACGCCGUAAACGAUGUCUACUCGGAGUUUGGUGUCUUGAACACUGGGGCUCUCAAGCUAACGCAUUAAGUAGACCGCCUGGGGAGUACGGCCGCAAGGUUAAAACUCAAAUGAAUUGACGGGGGCCCGCACAAGCGGUGGAGCAUGUGGUUUAAUUCGAUGCAACGCGAAGAACCUUACCUACUCUUGACAUCCACGGAAUUCGCUAGAGAUAGCUUAGUGCCUUCGGGAACUGUGAGACAGGUGCUGCAUGGCUGUCGUCAGCUCGUGUUGUGAAAUGUUGGGUUAAGUCCCGCAACGAGCG